GCCUUCGUAGCUCAGGGGAUAGAGCACCGCUCUCCUAAAGCGGGUGUCGGCAGUUCGAAUCUGCCCGGGGGCAC
rnacentral:tRNA from 1 species